CUAACUUCUAGGCACUUGUCCCUGCCGCCGCCGCACUUAUCUCCCAAAUCCCCAUCGGGAUCCACCCCGAUCCACCAGCGCCAUGCCCCGCGUCCUUUUUCUCCUCCUCCCUGUCUCGCCCGGUGCCGGAUCUCCAGUAGCACCCCACUGCCGCCGGCGAAGGCCACGUCCAGGUAGCACGCCAGGCGCCAUGGCCGCUGAAGGAACUCCGCCGCCUCACCGAAUCCACGCCUCCACCUCUCCCCUGCAUCAAGGUCGCCAAGUGCCUGCCACCCCUGCAUCCCCUGCAAUGAGAUAGAGCUCGCCUGAUGCCUCCCUGAGCCUGUAACGUACCCAGCUCCCCGUGCCCGAGGACUUCGCGCGUGAGCUCGACCCCGAGCGCGCCCGAGCUGCUCUUUCUCCCGCUGGCCUCCUCUGCGCGCCAAGCCGUUGCCCCGCGCCAAGUCCCUCAUCACCGCCGGCCUCGCGUUGACCUCCUCGCAUGCGGCCGCGCCACCCACUAUCGGCUUCCACUACCAGAUCCGACUAGCACUCUAUCGCACUUUCAUGUUCCAGCCGGAUCCCGGCAGCUAGGCCUCGUCCUCGGCCACCGGCGACCUCGUCGGAGCCCACCUGCGUCGCCGGCCAAUUCCCCUGCUUCGCCCCUACACUGAACCUGUUUCCUGUUGAUCAGAGAUGCCGUGCCCGAUCGCGCUGCCUCCGCUUCGCUCUGCCUACGAGGCCCAAUGCGGCGGCCCAGCUCCCUCUGCCGCCAAGGCCCAGUGGUGCCUCCCCUUGGCCCGUCACCGCUUCUUCGCUUUUGGCCCACUGGCCCAAUGUGAGCAUAGCUCCAGUCCCUCCUCUCUGUUCAGCCCAGCAGUGCACCAGAUUCAGCCCGAGAGGUGUUUUUUUUCGCAGAACAUUUUAGCUAAUUUCCAGAGACAGCAGUUUUGCAGGAAACCCCCUAGACAACAUGCAUAUAAUAACUCUCAAUUCGUGCAUCGGAUUAAAAUGAAUUAUGUAUGAAAAAUGGUUAGAAUUAUGUGUAGGUUAAUUAUUUGCAACUUUCAUCCAUGUUUAAAAUGUUGUUUGGUUAAAUUUGCUCCUAUGCCAUGCUAAAAUGUUUUAUUUCAUAACUAAAUAACCGUAACUCAGAAUUUAAUAAACUUUAUAUGUAAAUGG